GCCUGAUAAGACCACCUAGAUGCAGGAAAACAAAUUCAGGGCUCCCACUGAUUCUACAUUAUGGAAGAAGCUGAAACUGACCCUCGUGCUUUUCAGAAAUAGAACCGUCUUUUCUGCCUUAAAAAAGAGGAAUACAUAAUGUUUAUGAAGGCAGGGAUAACUGAAUGGGAGCUGUCCAGCUGAGCUAAUGGAAAAUUGAUCCUCCAGUGAUCAGGCCCAGCCAUUACCACUCCAGACAGACAAGAAUCACAUCGCUCAACAGGGCAGGUGGAGGGCCACCUGAUGAGGUUGUUGCUGCAUUCAGAGCAACGUGCCUUGUAAGAUGGGUCUGUUUUCUCUUUGCCUUCUGCCAUGAUCAUAAAUUUCCUGAGACCUCCCCAGAAGCCGAGCAGAUUCCAGCAUCAUGCUUCUUGUACAACCUACAGAACUGUGAGCCAAUUAAACCUCUUUUAUUGAUAAAUUAUCCAGUCUUAAGUUUUUUUUUUUAUGGCAAUGUGAGGACGGUCUAAUGCACUUAUGUGAAUUGAAAAGUAGCACUUGCAUAUCAUGGUCUAAAUAAUGUGCUAAUACUUGUCAUGUGUCUCUUGAGUGUGACCUAGGGACACUAGAAAUUCAGAGGACAACCCUGAGCUGACAUCCUCUGUUAUCAAAUG
rnacentral:lncRNA from 1 species